AGUUAUUCAAUUACGAACAAUGAAACAUUUUUCUUUUAAGUGAAUUUCUAUUAUAAUAGAAGUUUGUCAAGUACAUCUCAGUGAAGCAGAAAAUCUUCAGGCAAACAUUGGCAUCGAAGUGAUACCCUAUGAUAUCAAGAAAAAUCCUAUGGAACAGAAGCAGAUAAUGAUCACAGAAGUGCAACAAAGAGCACCAGGACCUGAUCAUCAAAUGUUAUGGUGUAGAUCUAAUCAAGAACAAGGACACCUAAGUUGAACUCUGGCAAGGUUGUCCCUUGCAGAAGGUUUGAUACCCAGGCUUCUUUUGUACAAGUCCCUAGUCCACCCUCAUCUUGAGAACUGUUCCUGUGUCUGGGAUCCCUACAACAUCUCAGAUGUCCAGGACGCUACUUCACAAUGGGGACCACAAGUGAACCAGCAGUUUGACUGAGAUGAUCAGCACCUUUAGUUGCCUACUAUAUCUACAACUACAAGGCACUCUGCAAGAAGACUGGGAAUGGUGCACAAGAUAGUCGAUGGUCUCUCCGCUCUCCCUUGAAAAUUUUCCCACUGCACUACUUAUAGCUACUUGCGCCCUC